UGACCCAGACUGGGGUAUCUCUCAGUUUCUAGGUGUGAAGCUUUAGGUUUGCAGAUGUCUAAUGUUUACAUAACAUACUCAAAUAUGCAAGAGAAAAAAGAGCAAACUACCUCAUUGUCUACACCGACUUCCAGGGAACUCACAGGCCUGCUUUCUGAUUCUGAUGGUGGUGCAGCACCAACAGCAGGAAGAAAUCAGCUUGCCCGUGCAGGGUAACUGGGGCGCUGGUUUACAUCAGCCUGUCGUGUUCAGUCACAGUCACCUGGGUGCGUGAUGAGUUCAGCAUCGAAACGCCGCCUCAGGGCUGUUCCUGCUCAUCUCAAGGGUGCCUGAGGCCACCUUGCUGGUGCAGGAGAGUGGGGGUCCACCCGCCACCCUCCGUUUGCAGGUCCCUCUGCCCCGUCCAAGGCGAGGCCCUGGGGCUGCUCCUGGGGGAGUGGCGCCAUCUCCCUGCUGGCCCGGCCCCACCCAUCUCAGCUCUCCUGGCCCCGGAGACGCCCCGAGUCCCGGUCGUGACACAACCUCCGUCCCCGCCUGGGUGUGCACCCUGCAGCCGUGUGGCUGCUCUGCCCGCCCCAACUCCUUGGCAAAUCUGCCAGUCAGCACUCUCAGCCCCUCCUGCAGCGUGGACGGGAGGCAGGACCUUUGAGAAGCCCCACGUGCCUUAGCAAGGCUGUGGAAAGCUGGGGGGCGGGAGUGCAGAGCCACCUCUCCAGACACCUACUCUGUUGCUCUGUCCCUUUUCAGAUGUGGCCCCAUGGGGACCACUGGGCUUUUCUAAGGGGUCUGCAAAUUCUGAGUCCAUAUACUAAGACCUAGGAGGGUGCCUCCUGCGUGGGGACCCCACCAAGCUCGCUGGGUGCUCCUACCCCUAACGUACAGCUCUUCCUCCCCUGAAUGCAACCCGGUGGUGGGGGAGGAGGACAGCACCCUGAUGCCUCCGCUGCCUCCUGUGCCCGCCCCAAGUCUCAGGAGGGUCUUCCUCCUCCUCCUGUUGUGUGGAAGGCUCUACAUCAUCCCCUUUCUACACGGACGAGGAGCCUCCCUGAUGAGCCUAAUUACAGAGGAACUACAGGGAAAGGAAGAAACAAAGCCCCGACCACAUCAGGGGAGAUUUUAAAGCCAGCCACCGCGAUACCCAGAAAACUCACAGCACCCUGGGGAAACAAAAGGGCUGGGACUUGGAGUCAGGACUGGUGCGUGUCCCGGCCCUGCUCCUGCACAGCUCUGUGUUUCUGGGCAGAAGCGCUUCUGCAAAGACAGGGAUGUGGGAGCCCUCUGGGGAGGAGGUGGGUUGGGCGGAGAGCCUGGGGAGAUCCGAGGUGCCAGCACAGGGCUGCGAGUGGAUCAGGACCCUUGGGGCGUCCUCCUGGCACUUCUUUGAGGAGGACCCCUCCCCAGUUCCUGGGGGUCCUGGAGCCUGCUCACAGGCAGUGGACCCGUCCAAGCAGAGCAACCCUGAAAGUGGGGCUGCCCGGCAGGCAGAGAACCCGGGUGCAGAGACAGAAAGAGGGUGAGGCAGGGCCCCCAGAGGGGGGAGAGGGGAGGAGGGGAGGGACCCCAGCCCCUAAUUCCUGACGCACAGCACCCUGUCUGGGAGCCCUGAUAGCCGAGAAGGGGCUGUUCUGGGCAGGGAGGGGCCUGGUCCCCAGGGAAGAGAAGCAGUGGAGACAGCACCCCCGGCAGCCCGCGCUCUCGGGCUCACGAGAGCGCGGCCCUGGGGCCGCCGCCUGCUCCCAGACGCUUCCUGCCGACACUUCCCUGUGGAUGAAACUCUGAACAGUGAAUCACGCUGGGGCCCAGACAUGGGAAGGUCCCGGUACGAGGGAGCUGGAAGCGAUGGGAAGAGCACCCCGCCGGCCCCUGCCCGGCCCCAGAGCCUCUCCUUCCAAGGGAAGGGCCCUGCCGGUGGUGUCAGCGAGGCAGACCUGCCUGAGCCCCCGCCCGCGGGGCUCCCUGGAGCUGCUGCCCCGAGGCUUCUCCCAGAGACGCCGGCUGCCCAGGAGGGGGUCCUGGACCAGCAGGAAGAGCGACUCUCCCGGCACAGCCCCCGGCCUUGGGAAGCCUGGUCACUGACACACACUCCUCCGGCCCCAUUGCCCGUCCCCGGUCAGGCCCCUAUCCCGGCCAGGGGUCCUUAAACUGGAGAGCAUGGGAACCAUCUGAGUGCUUCUUUUAUUUUAAUUAAUUAAUUUAUUUUUAUUUAUUUUCUUUUCUGUUUUUCCCUGCGCCGGGUCUUCGUUGCAGCACGUGGGAGCUUUGCCGAGGCAGGCGGGAUCCUCUGUGGAGGCGCACAGGCUUCUCUCCAGCCGUGGCCCGUGGGCUGCGGAGCGCCUGGGCUCUGUAGCUGAGGCGCGUGAGCUUAGUUGCCCCAAGGCAGGUGGGAUCUUAGUUCCCCGACCAGGGAUCAAACCCGCAUUGGGAGGCGACUCUUCACGCCUGGACCACCAGGGAAGCCCCUGAGUGCUUCUUUUAAAAGGCGCACGUCAGGAACCCACCCCAGUCCGGGGUGAGGCUGAGGAGCCUGAGUUUUUAAAGAACACGACAGGUCCAGCUAAUCUGGGGAGAGCACAUUUUAAAAAGCUUGAUAAAAUAUAUAUAACGUAAAUUUUACCAUUUUAGCGAUUUUUAAGCGCACAUUUCAAUGGCAUUAAGUGCAUCACAUUUUCCUAGGACCAUCACCGCCAUCCAUCCCCGAAACGAUUUCAAUUUCCCCAAAGAGAAACUCUGUACCUACUGAAAACUAACCCCCUACCCCACCCCACCCCCAGUCCCUGGCACCCACCCGUCCGCUUUCUCUCGGUGAGCUUGAGUAUUCUAGGUCAUGUAAGCGGAAUCACACAGUGUUUGUCUCUGCGACUGGCUGACUUCACCGAGCAUGAUGUCUGCCGGGUUCAUCCACGUGUAGCGGGUGUCAGGUGUCCUUCCCUUUGGAGGCUGGAUCGUAUUCCGCGGAAAAGAAACUAAUGAAAACCAACUUGCAGGAUAGCUUUGAAAGGACUGAGUGGGAAGAGACACGCAAAGUGUCCGGCACAGACUCCCAGAACGGCUGUGGAGAAUCCUCUGUAAUUAUAAGAACGUCUCUCAGGGCUUGAGAACUUGGUCCAGCCCCAACCCGUGGUCGCUGGAGCCAGCGCUCAGGCAGCCCCUGUGCGUGGCGCGUCCUGCGGGGAGCAGGGCAGCGUGAAGCACGGCUCUCGUCUCCGGGACGCUGAAGGCAGGAGGGCAAGAUUUACGUGAUGAGGCAACCCGGGAACAACACGAGCCGGGGUGACUCACCCGCUUUCCAGCACAGCUAAUGGAGGGUGUGGACGGGCCCAGGCGACAGCAUGAGCAGCGCGGAAAGGGAGCACCGCAGCACCUCUGCAGACACGCUGCGCCUCUGCGGACACGCUGUGGGAGCAGGGAGGCGGGGGCGGGGGAGCACAGCGCAGAGACCGGGAGGAGUCCGGUCUGGAAGAGGACCUGAGCGGAAAACAGAAGCAGAUUCCUCCCUCGUGCUUCCUGUUUUACAGAAGGUGUCACUACAGUAUUCAAAGACUGGAUAAUAAAACUGAGGGAGGUGAAAAGAGAUUUCAGGGUCAAGAAGACAAACUGAGAACUAGAGACAAUUACUAACCCAAAAAGUGAUUUAGGAACAACAGCAAACAAGGCUAAAAAUAAAACGGCACAAAGGCCAGGCUUGAAACCAUCCCAAUCGGUGUAGAGAAAAGCAAUCAGAGAGGCAAAAGGAAGCGAAGGUCAGCUGAUGUAAGGAUAGCUGACGUCCUCGAGAAACGGAGAAAUGAAACAGAAAAGAUAUUUGGGGGUAUUGCACAGAUAAGGCUGCCCUUAAAUAAAGGAAGGACUGAAUUUACCAAUGGAUAGGAUACGAGGAAUAAUCCCAGAAAAAAGAGAGAAUUGGUCAACACAGAGAUGUAACCUGUUUAAGUGACCAAACGUCAAAGCAUGAAGAAUUUUUCAGGCGUCCAAGCAGAAAAAAAACCAAAUCGUAACAAGAAGGAAGCUCUGGGUAGCCUUAGAUUUCCCCAUGUCCAACACCAGGAGACCAUGAAGGAGAAGAAACAUCCACAGCACACGGGGGGAAGGAAAGCCUGGCCGCAGUCUCAAGGCAAGCGGGGCCCUCAGACGUGAGAGCCUGUCUUGAACACACCAUCCGACAAGACAAGGCAGAAAACUGGGAGUGAUUCAAGCGGAGGACCCAGAGGAGAAGGGCUGGCGGUGAGCGGUGCAUCCUUUCACACCCAGAGCUGAAUGUGAGCGCUUCAAAGUCCCAGCGAGAUGGAAACCUGUGAGAACAAAAAUCAGGAUGUGGAAGACGGGGAGGGACGGGGCGCAGGGGCCAGCACGCCGUCUACGAUGAAGGCAGGACGCAAAACCACCAGCGACGGCAGCCUUUUCAAACGACUUCAAAAAAUAAUUUAUUUCCUGGUCUAUAGAGGGAUUUUGUAGGUACAGAUGUCUCUUGUCGUUAUGAAUCAUUUACCCAAGGUCAAAUAAUGCCUUCGGCUUUCUUUUUUUUCUAUGGUAUGUAAGCGUGAAUAAACGUAACCUUUUCAUAUUUUCAGA